AGGGUCUGUAGCUCAGCUGGGAAAGCACGUGCUUUGCAAGCAGGGGAUCGUCGGUUCGAUCCCGUCAUCCUCUACCA
rnacentral:tRNA from 1 species